rnacentral:rRNA from 1 species
CAAGUCGAACGAGCAAGAGAGAGCUUGCUUUCUCGAGCGAGUGGCGAACGGGUGAGUAACGCGUGAGGAACCUGCCUCAAAGAGGGGGACAACAGUUGGAAACGACUGCUAAUACCGCAUAAGCCCACGGCUCGGCAUCGAGCAGAGGGAAAAGGAGCAAUCCGCUUUGAGAUGGCCUCGCGUCCGAUUAGCUAGUUGGUGAGGUAACGGCCCACCAAGGCGACGAUCGGUAGCCGGACUGAGAGGUUGAACGGCCACAUUGGGACUGAGACACGGCCCAGACUCCUACGGGAGGCAGCAGUGGGGGAUAUUGCACAAUGGGGGGAACCCUGAUGCAGCGACGCCGCGUGGAGGAAGAAGGUUUUCGGAUUGUAAACUCCUGUCGUUAGGGACGAUAAUGACGGUACCUAACAAGAAAGCACCGGCUAACUACGUGCCAGCAGCCGCGGUAAAACGUAGGGUGCAAGCGUUGUCCGGAAUUACUGGGUGUAAAGGGAGCGCAGGCGGGAAGACAAGUUGGAAGUGAAAACCAUGGGCUCAACCCAUGAAUUGCUUUCAAAACUGUUUUUCUUGAGUAGUGCAGAGGUAGAUGGAAUUCCCGGUGUAGCGGUGGAAUGCGUAGAUAUCGGGAGGAACACCAGUGGCGAAGGCGGUCUACUGGGCACCAACUGACGCUGAGGCUCGAAAGCAUGGGUAGCAAACAGGAUUAGAUACCCUGGUAGUCCACACUGUAAACGAUGAUUACUAGGUGUUGGGGGAUUGACCCCCUCAGUGCCGCAGUUAACACAAUAAGUAAUCCACCUGGGGAGUACGACCGCAAGGUUGAAACUCAAAGGAAUUGACGGGGGCCCGCACAAGCAGUGGAGUAUGUGGUUUAAUUCGAAGCAAC